rnacentral:rRNA from 1 species
GACAGAGGGUGCAAACGUUGUUCGGAAUUACUGGGCGUAAAGCGCGUGUAGGCGGCUAAGUAAGUCGGGCGUGAAAUCCCACGGCUCAACCGUGGAAGUGCACUCGAAACUGCAUAGCUAGAGUCCUGGAGAGGAAGGUGGAAUGCUUGGUGUAGAGGUGAAAUUCGUAGAUAUCAAGCGGAACACCGGUGGCGAAGGCGGCCUCCUGGACAGUGACUGACGCUGAGACGCGAAAGCGUGGGGAGCAAACAGG